AUGGCCCCUUUACGGUAAUGAGGGCUGUGGGUGGGCAGGAUGGCUCUUGUCCCCCCGUGGUUCUCGACCGUCUUGGGGCCC
rfam:Hepatitis C virus strain 105431TF2.TC2 polyprotein gene, complete cds